UACGAAGGGUGCAAACGUUGCUCGGAAUCAUUGGGCGUAAAGCGCACGUAGGCGGCUUGGCAAGUCGGGUGUGAAACCUCCAGGCUCAACCCUGGAGACGCCCACUCGAUACUGCUAUGGCUAGAGUCCGGUAGGGGACCACGGAAUUCUCGGUGUAGCAGUGAAAUGCGUAGAUAUCGAGAGGAACACCAGUGGCGAAGGCGAGUCCCUGGACAAAACCUGACACUGAGGCACGAAAGCUAGGGGAGCAAACAGG
rnacentral:rRNA from 1 species